AUUGAACGCUGGCGGCAUGCCUAACACAUGCAAGUCGGACGAGUGGCGGACGGGUGAGUAACGCAUGGGAACGUGCCCGAUAGUGGGGGAUAACUGCUCGAAAGGACAGCUAAUACCGCAUAUUAUCCGAGCGACCGAUGUUGGAUUAGCUGGUUGGUGGGGUAAAGGCGCACCAAGGCGACGAUCCGUAGCGGGUCUGAGAGGAUGAUCCGCCACACUGGGACGGAGACACGGCCCAGACUCCUACGGGAGGCAGCAGUGGGGAAUUUUGGACAAUGGGCGCAAGCCUGAUCCAGCCAUGCCGCGUGUCUGAAGAAGGCCUUCGGGUUGUAAAGGACUUUUGUCAGGGAAGCGGUACCUGAAGAAUAAGCACCGGCUAACUACGUGCCAGCAGCCGCGGUAAUUC
rnacentral:rRNA from 1 species